CGAAUAUUCAAAACUUACCCAAAUGAAAAAAAACUACCAAAAAACCACAAUGAAAUGAUUGACAUAGUCAAUUGUCAAACGAAGUAGAGAGAAUAGACCAGGAGAAGAAACAAAGAGGGAAAGAAAAGGGAGAGAAGAACUAAUGUCAGAAUUUUUUUAAGAAAGGGAAAAUAAAAUAAAAUAAAAUAAAAUUACAUAUAAUCCCCACUCCCCCACUAAUAACCACUAACAACCUUAUCCCACCAAAUCCGACACACUAAUCACAUCCAACUACCUUAGACUCCCAACUCCACCAAACCUCUAUCAGACAACUGAAGCAAAAACAUCUACGCUCCCACAGAGAAUCAAACACGAGACCUUAGGCUAAAAUAACACCUUACCACUUAAACCAGCAGGCUCGUUAUGAAAUGAGUUUGCUAAAGAUAAAUUAUAACCC
rnacentral:lncRNA from 1 species